rnacentral:rRNA from 1 species
UGCGUAGGUGGUUGGUUAAGUUUGAGGUGAAAGCUCCGAGCUCAACUCGGAAAAUGCCUUGAAGACUAUCUGACUAGAGGAUUGGAGGGGAGAUUGGAAUUCUCGGUGUAGCAGUGAAAUGCGUAGAUAUCGAGAGGAACACCAGUGGCGAAGGCGAAUCUCUGGACAAUUCCUGACACUGAGGCACGAAAGCCAAGGGAGCAAACGG